rnacentral:lncRNA from 1 species
CUCCACAUCUGUCUCAUGAUUUUCUUUUCUACCAUACUGUUUCCAGAGUGAUUGAGCCCCAGUGAGAAAGUGGGAUCUUAAAAUACAAAUUUUCCUCUUCUUUUGCCCUUAUCACGUCUUUUAAUUUACUUAAAUAUUUAACCUCCACCAUUUCUUCUGCCUUAAUGCUUAACAAAAUGACAAAAUCCUGAUGUCUAAUCUAUUAUAUAGCAUAACCCUCUGCCCUGAUCAACAGAUUGGUAAAUUGCAAUAAUGAAUUACAGCCUGACAUGUGGCCAAAACCCCUGCUUCCAACAGGUUGUUACAUUUAACUCACUGGUCUUAACUAUUUGUUUUGUUUUAGCUGCCAGUAUAUGGGAGGCAGAGUUAAUGGAGAGCAAUUCUUCCAUUGACUCCAAGCACUGCACCACAGAGAACAUCUGUCAGCAGCAGAGCUUGCUUUCACUUUCACAGUGCACUGUUGCUUGUGUCAGAAGUUCACUGACUCUGGAUGCAGUCAUGAAUGCUGAGUGAUUCUACAAAGGUAAGCUCCAGCUGUUAUCUACUUGGCAAACAAAAAAGGAGAAAUGCAUGAUUACUUACAAAAAUUACUUUUCCACUUGCUCAGCACCUGCUUAUGGGCAAUCUUUCUGUCCAGUUAUCUAUACCAACAUAUUUCUAACUAUGAGAUUGUUUCUUUUCCUGUCUAGUCCUGCACUGUGCAUUCCACAUUUUUCAACAGCAACAAUAACUGAAAUGGCAGACUCAAAUCAUUUUCUAGCACACAAAUAACACCAGUUCUCAGACUUCUGUUUUUAUGAAGUCAUAUCAGAGUAGUUAAAUAGCAGUAAAAUCUUUAACAGUAGUUUAGGAUUGUGAGUAGUAAGCAUUUCUCAAAUACAGUAUUGAGUCAUCCCCCAGGUAUAAAUUAUACAAAAAGACAGUUAUCUUUUAUGGAAUAAUGUAAGUUGGAAAGAAAGCAUAAGGAAAGAAGGAUCAGAAACCCCAGAAAGUAACUGUCAAAAGACCAUUGAAAGAGGCAGUCUAACAGAAAAUACAGCACUGUCUGAGAUGAAAUCUUAUACCUAAUCAGCAUUGUCUACUAUCGCUUGAUGUGCAUCAUCAGUUUGUAUUUAGGCAUCUUAAUUCCAUGUCAGAGAUUGCAGCUAGCUAAACGUAAGCAAACAAACAGUUGAUUAAUAGGUUUGAAUAAUAUUGCCCCUAUUUAUAAAAUAUUAUAUAAAAUAUAAUUU